rnacentral:rRNA from 1 species
GACAGCAGCAGCCACGGGAAUACAGAGGGUGCGAGCGUUAAUCGGAUUUACUGGGCGUAAAGCGUGCGUAGGCGGCUUUUUAAGUCGGAUGUGAAAUCCCUGAGCUUAACUUAGGAAUUGCAUUCGAUACUGGGAAGCUAGAGUAUGGGAGAGGAUGGUAGAAUUCCAGGUGUAGCGGUGAAAUGCGUAGAGAUCUGGAGGAAUACCGAUGGCGAAGGCAGCCAUCUGGCCUAAUACUGACGCUGAGGUACGAAAGCAUGGGGAGCAAACAGGAUUAGAUACCCCUGUAGUCCCUGUCUCUUAUAC